rnacentral:rRNA from 1 species
GCACAGACGAAGCGCAAGUGACGGUAUGUGCAGAAGAAGGACCGGCCAACUACGUGCCAGCAGCCGCGGUAAUACGUAGGGUCCGAGCGUUGUCCGGAAUUACUGGGCGUAAAGAGCUCGUAGGUGGUUUGUCGCGUUGCUUCGUGAAAACUCACAGCUUAACUGUGGGCGUGCGGGCGAUACGGGCAGACUUGAGUACUGCAGGGGAGACUGGAAUUCCUGGUGUAGCGGUGGAAUGCGCAGAUAUCAGGAGGAACACCGGUGGUCGAAGGCGGGUCUCUGGGCAGUAACUGACGCUGAGGAGCGAAAGCGUGGGGAGCGAACAGGAUUAGAUACCCUGGUAGUCCACGCCGUAAACGGUGGGUACUAGGUGUGGGUUUCCUUCCUUGGGAUCCGUGCCGUAGCUAACGCAUUAAGUACCCCGCCUGGGGAGUACGGCCGCAAGGCUAAAACUCAAAGAAAUUGACGGGGGCCCGCACAAGCGGCGGAGCAUGUGGAUUAAUUCGAUGCAACGCGAAGAACCUUACCUGGGUGUGACAUGCACAGGACGCCAGUAGAG